rnacentral:rRNA from 1 species
UACGUAUGGUGCAAGCGUUAUCCGGAUUUACUGGGUGUAAAGGGAGCGUAGGCGGCGCGUUAAGUCUGAUGUGAAAACCCGAGGCUCAACCACGGGAGUGCAUUGGAAACUGGCGGGCUGGAGUGCCGGAGAGGUAAGCGGAAUCCCUAGUGUAGCGGUGAAAUGCGUAGAUAUUAGGAGGAACACCAGUGGCGAAGGCGGCUUACUGGACGGCAACUGACGCUGAGGCUCGAAAGCGUGGGGAGCAAACAGG